AGAGUUUGAUCAUGGCUCAGGAUGAACGCGUGGCGGCGUGCUUAACACAUGCAAGUCGAACGGAGUUUUAACGGAAGUUUCGGAUGGAAGUUAGAACUUAGUGGCGGACGGGUGAGUAACGCGUGGGUAACCUGCCUCAGUACAGGGGGAUAACAGUUAGAAAUGACUGCUAACACCGCAUAAUAUAGCGAAACCGCAUGAUUUUGCUAUCAAAUAUUUAUAGGUAUGAGAUGGGCCCGCGUCUGAUUAGCUAGUUGGUGGGUAAAAGCCUACCAAGGCGACGAUCAGUAGCCGGCUUGAGAGAGUGACCGGCCACAUUGGGACUGAGACACGGCCCAAACUCCUACGGGAGGCAGCAGUGGGGAAUAUUGGACAAUGGGGGAAACCCUGAUCCAGCGAACCGCCGCGUGAGUGAAGAAGUAUUUCGGUAUGUAAAGCUCUAUCAGCAGGGAAGAUAAUGACAGUACCUGACUAAGAAGCCCCGGCUAACUACGUGCCAGCCGCUGC
rnacentral:rRNA from 1 species